GACGAACGCUGGCGGCGUGCUUAACACAUGCAAGUCGAACGGAAAGGCCCUGCUUUUGUGGGGUGCUCGAGUGGCGAACGGGUGAGUAACACGUGAGUAACCUGCCCUCGUCUUUGGGAUAACUUCCGGAAACUGGGGCUAAUACCGGAUAGUAGCUCCUGCUGCAUGGUGGGGGUUGGAAAGUUUCGGCGGUUGGGGAUGGACUCGCGGCUUAUUAGCUUGUUGGUGGGGUAGUGGCUUACCAAGGCUUUGACGGGUAGCAGGCCUGAGAGGGUGACCGGCCAGAUUGGGACUGGGAUACGGCCCAGACUCCUACGGGAGGCAGCAGUGCGGAAUACUGCACAAUGGGCGGAAGCCGGAGGCAGCAACGCCGCGUGCGGGAUGACGGCCUUCUGGUUGGAAACCGCUUUCGCCGGUGACGAAGCGGGAGUGACGGUAAUGGGUAAAGAAGCACCGGCUAACUACGUG
rnacentral:rRNA from 1 species